AUUGUCGUCCAAAAAUCCCCUCAUCUCGUAAUCGUGAAUCAGCCAAAGAAAUCUCCUCCUCCUCUCGUAUACCAUUCGUCCCUUACCCAUCGUCACGACCAUUGUUACACCCACCAAGUUAUCUACUAGGAACCAUAUUAGCCACAAAAAACUCGCCAAAAUCCCCUACCUUUUUAUCCUGUGUUAACCGAUUUUGGUUGUUUGUUUCGAUUUCAUGUGCUAGGGCUUAUACAACUUGAAGUUUUUGAAGAUUGUGCGGAACAAAUGAUAAAAAGGGCUCAUACAAUCUUGAGGUUUUAGAAGAUCUUGCGACACAAAUGAGAGAAAGGGCUCAUGCAAUCUUGUACUUUUCAAAGAUCCUGCGGAACAAUGAGACAAUGGUCUAAAAAACUGGAACGAAGCAUCUCAUGGAUGUUCAACGAACCUGUAAUUUUAUUUGGUGUUUUAGAAUAUUAGCAGGCUAUAUUUAUAUUGAAAGAACCAUUUCAACAUUUUCUUUUUCUAUCACGAUCCUUACAAGUCUGUAUUUACACAAAAAAAUUUGAUUUUGUGAUUCUUUCUUCUAAUGUAUAUAUGAAAUGCAAGCGGAUCAAGAAGGAAUGAUAUCAAAUUUGCAUCAACAAACUUUUAUGUUAUUUAGGUAUAAUUAUUGGUGUUUAUUUAACUUCAAUUAAACAUUUAUGUUAUAUA